UUUCCUCUGAAAUGAAUUACUUGGCAGAGAGUAAGACUGAGAGAAGGGAGGUAAUUGUAAUUGAACUGCCCUCCCCCUCUUCUCUCCUCCACAUCCCUCCUGCCUCGAGUUAUUAUAUCUGCAGUGCAGGGAGACAUUUUUCAUCUGCACACAAACACACACGCCCUCACCCAGCCAAUCUUUCCCCAACCCCCACGCGUGGUGGCCUCAGCAGAGCGACGUAUUGAUGCAGGGCGAUUUUAGAGAUUGAUCGCUCAUGGGGGCAUGCACACCAGGACAUGCUGCACUCUUAUUUAUAAAACAGGGACUAUUCCCCUCUUUGCAGUGCCCUUUAGAUGGCCUGCCUGUAAUGCGCUGCAGGAGUUUGGAUCUGACUAAAGUAACAGUGGUGUUCAGUCUGAAAAUAGCUCUGGUUACCCCCUUUAUUAAUAACUGCCUGCUGACAGAUAGAACGCCUGAUGGAUUAAAGAGAUUUGUGUGUUUGCUCUUUUUUGUUUUGGCAACUGUUGAUAUUAGUCGGAUUGUUUUCCCUACUCUGCAUGUGCACAUUUCCUGCUUGCUGUACACCAACCAAUGGUCUUUCAGCAGCCAAGGCAUGGAAAACGGAGGAAGGGGGGUGAGUUAAAUGAGCUGCCAACCCUCAGCACCCAGACAGACAUGCACAUGCUUCAGUCCUAACUCAGCACACACAAUGGGAUCUAUUUCUGUAAAUGCACUCAGGCUAUCACCCCACUUACACCGACAACCCCCUCCUCACUGGCUGUCUAUUUCUGCUUGCCCCUUCUCUUUUUCCCAACAUGCUCAACUACUUUCUGCAACAUCAUGGCGGACAGAACCAGCAGGCUUGGGGUCAAGAGAAAAGAGAAAACAGUGGAAAACAGUGAGGAAAAGGAAACAGGAACAGAGAAAAUUGUGAAGAAACCCGACAAAGGUGGGAAAAAGCAAGAGAAGGCCCCAGAAGUGUCGAAGGCAGAUGAGAAGAAGAAUGGUGAAAGUGGGGGGGCAACUGGCGCAGAGGCCAAUAAAAGUGAGGAUAAUGGAGAGUAUCAGGCCAUAGAGCUCCCUCCUUUUGAGAUUAUCAAAGGGGAACGGAUGAGCCCCUUCUACUUCAAGUUUCAGUUCAGGAAUGUGGAGUAUUCGUCGGGGAGGAACAAAACACUGUUGUGUUUCAGAGUGGACACAGCAGGAGGUGACACAGAGCCUCUGAAAGGUUACAUGGAGGAUGAACACGCCACCGCCCACGCUGAGGAGGCCUUCUUUCAGCAGGUGCUGCCUAACUCCUCCAAAGAAUACGACGUCACGUGGUUCGUAUCAUCCAGCCCCUGCACUGCCUGUGCCGCCAAGCUGGCCAACGUUCUGCAGCAACGCAAAAAGGUUCGCCUCACCAUCUUCUGCUCCCGCCUCUUUGAGUGGGAGGAGCCAGAGAUAAGGGAAGGCCUCAAGGCUCUGGCGAGGGCCGGGUGCAAACUGCGAAUGAUGAAGCCUGCUGACUUCCAGCUGGUUUGGGAAAUGUACGUGGAAAAGGAGGACGAAACCUUCACGCCGUGGGAAGACUGCAAAGACAACUACGAGUACUAUCUGGAGAAACUGGGUGAUAUCCUCAACUAGACGUUUCCUCUGACUGAACCAAAAACACACACGUGUUUUCUUUGCAGUGAGAUGAUUGAAUGAACACUUGUGUUUUAAAAGAGAUUCACAGAAGAGUCACUGCAAUCUCCUGAAGGACCCCCACCUUGCCGGUUGUCCCUCUCAGAAAAAGCUAAACCACAACAUCCUGUUUCAACAGAAAAGUUUCUAUAAAAAGGAAGCACUCAUGCUAACUAAAGCUGAAACCUUUUCUUUUUAAAGUCAUAAAAACAGAAUUUUUUUUAUUAAUCCAGUACUAAUUUCUUCUAAAUGUGAAAGAAAAAACAAAAGCCCACUGACCUUUAACAUCCAGUUGUAUUUUAUUACUUUGUACCGUUGAUGUUUUCUGACCUCUGCUGGCUUUGCAUGAAUAGCUGCCUUUAUCAGAGGCAGCCAGUGUGAAGCUGGAUGAUGCACCAGACAGAAGAAGCUCAUUGUUAUCUUUGUACCACUGAUAACUCCAGUCGGAGGAAACAUCAACGCUGCAAGUGAAGGUCAUUGUUUCUCCAACAUACAUUGGGACAAAAUCAAGAUUCCUUCUCAGUUUUGGAGUCGGCAUGUUUGCUGGAAAAAAGAAAUAAAGUCAGGAACUUUUCCUCUUUACAAAA